UGGGGAAUAUUGGACAAUGGGCGAAAGCCUGAUCCAGCCAUGCCGCGUGUGUGAAGAAGGUCUUCGGAUUGUAAAGCACUUUAAGUUGGGAGGAAGGGCAUUAACCUAAUACGUUAGUGUUUUGACGUUACCGACAGAAUAAGCACCGGCUAACUCUGUGCCAGCAGCCGCGGUAAUACACAGGGUGCAAGCGUUAAUCGGAAUUACUGGGCGUAAAGCGCGCGUAGGUGGUUUGUUAAGUUGGAUGUGAAAUCCCCGGGCUCAACCUGUGAACUGCAUUCAAAACUGACUGACUAGAGUAUGGUAGAGGGUGGUGGAAUUUCCUGUGUAGCGGUGAAAUGCGUAGAUAUAGGCAGGAGCACCAGUGGCGAAGGCGACCACCUGGACUAAUACUGACACUGAGGUGCGAAAGCGUGGGGAGCAAACA
rnacentral:rRNA from 1 species